CAAUAGCGUAUAUUAAAGUUGUUGCAGUUAAAAAGCUCGUAGUUGGAUUUCUGGUGGGAGCGAUCGGUCUGGCGCUUAGCGCGAGUACUUGCAUCGUCUCCGGCCAUCCUUGGGGAGAGUCUGUCUGGCAUUAGGUUGUCGGGCAGAGGAUCCUCAUCGUUUACUGUGAAAAAAUUAGAGUGUUCAAAGCAGGCUUAUGCCGUUGAAUAUAUUAGCAUGGAAUAAUAAGAUAGGACUUUGGUACUAUUUUGUUGGUUUGCGCACCAAAGUAAUGAUUAAUAGUGACAGUUGGGGGUAUUCGUAUUCCGUUGUCAGAGGUGAAAUUCUUGGAUUUACGGAAGACGAACUACUGCGAAAGCAUUUACCAAGGAUGUUUUCAUUAA
rnacentral:rRNA from 1 species